rnacentral:Y_RNA from 1 species
GGCUGGUCCGAAGGUAGUGAGUUACCUCAUUUGAUUGUUUACAGUCGGUUACAGAUUGAAUUCCUUGUUCUGCUACUUUACCCCCUUCUCACUACUGUACUUGUCUAGUCUUAA